rnacentral:misc_RNA from 1 species
GAGGGAAACUAUCAUUUAUCUGAUUGUUUCCAAGAUCAAGCACUUCUAACAUUUUGCAGGUGGACAAAGAUCGAGGUAAUGGUCCUUCCAACUGAUUGCCAUUCAAGUUAAGAUUCCUUAAUUUAUUGCCCUGUGUAAAUGUUCCUGGGAUGCUGCUUUGCAAUCUGUUCAUCCCCAGAUUUAACACUGACAAUUCACUACUGAAGUUUCCCAAACACUGUGGAAUCAUGCCACUCAAGCUAU